GACUUACCUAAGCUUUCUCCGAUUCACUGGCAACUUACUCAAAAUUGAAAAGGAGGGAAAGUGGCAAGUUGAAGCACGCUACAGGGGUGCUCUCCAUAUAACGGGAUUUGAUCUACAACUUGAUGCUCCACUUGCUUUGCCUCCAUUGCUGCUUGAUGAUACUCUAUGGCUGCCCGGUGCUCCUGAAUCUGUCCAUAGCCAUCAACCAACGCAAAGAAAGCUCACCUUCCUUCUCAGGUUGUCCAGCUGCUGCUGCAAGAGCUCAUUCUGCGCACUCAAACAAAAUUAAAAGAACGAAGGAAAUAAGAAUAGUACGUUUAUUAAUUCAAGGAGUUCUCUAUACAUCUAUAGUGCAUGCUUUUAUUAUUACUAAUAUUUUAGUUCAUUUUAAAAUCGA